rnacentral:rRNA from 1 species
UACCGUAAAAAUCAACCUACAACAUCAAGCGCCAGGGUAUUACGAGUGCAAACUUAAAAUCCAAAGGAUUUGACGGUGUCCCACCCAUCUAGAGGAGCCUGUUCUAUAAUCGAUAAUCCUCGAUAUACCUCACCAUUUUUUGCUAUUCAGUCUGUAUACCUCCGUCGUAAGCUUACCAUUUGAGUGCAAAAAGUAAGUUUAAUGAUUGCUCAUCAAUACGUCAGGUCAAGGUGCAACCAAUAAAACGGAAAGCAAUGGGCUACAAUCUCUAUAAUAGAACAUACGAAGUACUACAUGAAAAACAGUCAUGAAGGCGGAUUUAGUAGUAAAAGAAGAAUAGUAUACUUCUUUAAAAAAGGCUCUGGGACGUGUACAAACCGCCCGUCACCCUCUUCAAUAGCAUUCCUUAAUUUAUAAUACUUAAAAGCUCCUUAGAAGAGGCAAGUCGUAACAUGGUAAGUGUACUGGAAAGUGCACUUGGCAAAU